rnacentral:lncRNA from 1 species
AACCACAUACAUGCACAUCCAAAUAGUAAUGUAACUCUUCGUCAUUUUCCUUGCGAAAAUCAACUCCACUCACCUUAUCUUCCUUCCUACACCUACCUCCCACAAACCCUCUUCUUCCGACCUUCUAUUCACCAUACAACCUUUAACAACUCACUGCAUCUCAUAACCUACAACCCACGUAAGCUCACAUUCACCACCUUACAUCUUCAUUUACUACUUAAAAUCUUCCCUUAGCCUCACUUAUGAAUUGCUACCGUUCACUCAAACCAACCUCACGACUAACAACAGCUCACACUUCGUGAACAAGUUUACCAUACAACAACACCAUAUUCAUAUACUCCCUUCAUCCAAACUGACAAACACAUCCACCUCAAUAGUACCAAAACGAAAUUCACCAUACAAACACCACUUGUUUGGUCACAGGAACACACUUUCAUUGGCCACCCUCUAACAAACUCACCUCUAACAAUCCAAGCUCAAUAACAUCAUCACACCUCUUUCACCUUCAAAUGCAAACGAAUCAGACCAACUCCAUGGCUCCAUUCAACAACAAGUUUACUCCACUGUAACUCUAAUUGAACAGUCAACUAUGUUCACACUCACAAACCCGACAAUACAAGAGAAAAGCAACAACCAUAGUCAACUCGGUAACGAUUUGAAGUUUGAGUUGGUUGAUCAAGAUACCACUCUUUUACUUUCCCAAUAAAUGAAUGAGGAAACAAUCUCAUGAACACUUGUUCUUAUUUUGCUUGUGGAGCUCCAAGUGUACCAGAAAUCUCAUAGAACUUGGUAAGGUGAGUAUAUGGAUCUUCAUGGUCAAGCCUGGUAAAAGGAUUUGCAUACAAGAUUUGUAGUAAUUCGGUCUUCAUUUCUGGAUUUCUUGUAUAUUGCAGGUAUGAUAAUAUGAGCAUUUAUUAUUGGGCCGUUGACAUAAGUCCCUCUUAUGACUACUUGUUUCGUCAUAGCUUCUUCACCGAGAGGAGUUGUUGAAGAAGUAGAAGUUGAAGUUCCUUCACGUUGGUUUCUUUGUUUGGCUAACUACUUUCUCUUUCUAGUUUUACUGUUGAGUUUCGAUGUUGUUCUUUCAAUCUCAAGAUCAAAAAUAAGUUGAUCUUUUAGUAACUUUCCUCGCAUAAACAGAGUUCUGAAACACUAACCACACAAAUUAAAAAACACGAGGGAUGAUAAAUAGAAUAGUUUAUAAUAGUAUAAAG